GAUGAACGCUGGCGGCGUGCUUAACACAUGCAAGUCGAACGGAAGGACGCGGCUCUUGCUGGUUUCUUGUUAGCGGCGGGGGGGUGAGAAACGUGUGGAUACCCUCCCUGUCUGACUGGGAUAUCUUCGGGAAAGCGGAUCUAACCGCGGAUGAGCUUUUGAACCGCGGGGGUCGAAAGUGAGUGUCGGCCUUGCGGGCACGUCUCGCGGGUUACGCGCUGGUUUAGCUAGUUGGGAAGGUAACGGCUUACCAAGGCGAGGAUGCGUAGCCGACCUGAGAGGGUGAUCGGCCACACUGGAACGGAGACACGGUCCAGACUCCUACGGGAGGCAGCAGUCGGGAAUCGUCCGCAACGGGCGAAAGCCUGACACAGCAACGCCGCGUGAGUGAUGAAGGCCUUCGGAUCGUAAAGCUCUGUUAUGAGGGAAGAACAGAUGUGGAAUUAAAUGUGCAGAUAGUGACGGUACCGAAUCAAAAAGCCACGGCUAACUACGUG
rnacentral:rRNA from 1 species